rnacentral:rRNA from 2 species
AGAGUUUGAUCAUGGCUCAGAUUGAACGCUGGCGGCAGGCCUAACACAUGCAAGUCGAGCGGUAGCACAGAGAGCUUGCUCUCGGGUGACGAGCGGCGGACGGGUGAGUAAUGUCUGGGAAACUGCCUGAUGGAGGGGGAUAACUACUGGAAACGGUAGCUAAUACCGCAUAAUGUCGCAAGACCAAAGUGGGGGACCUUCGGGCCUCAUGCCAUCAGAUGUGCCCAGAUGGGAUUAGCUAGUAGGUGGGGUAAUGGCUCACCUAGGCGACGAUCCCUAGCUGGUCUGAGAGGAUGACCAGCCACACUGGAACUGAGACACGGUCCAGACUCCUACGGGAGGCAGCAGUGGGGAAUAUUGCACAAUGGGCGCAAGCCUGAUGCAGCCAUGCCGCGUGUGUGAAGAAGGCCUUCGGGUUGUAAAGCACUUUCAGCGGGGAGGAAGGCGAUAAGGUUAAUAACCUUGGCGAUUGACGUUACCCGCAGAAGAAGCACCGGCUAACUCCGUGCCAGCAGCCGCGGUAAUACGGAGGGUGCAAGCGUUAAUCGGAAUUACUGGGCGUAAAGCGCACGCAGGCGGUCUGUCAAGUCGGAUGUGAAAUCCCCGGGCUCAACCUGGGAACUGCAUUCGAAACUGGCAGGCUAGAGUCUUGUAGAGGGGGGUAGAAUUCCAGGUGUAGCGGUGAAAUGCGUAGAGAUCUGGAGGAAUACCGGUGGCGAAGGCGGCCCCCUGGACAAAGACUGACGCUCAGGUGCGAAAGCGUGGGGAGCAAACAGGAUUAGAUACCCUGGUAGUCCACGCCGUAAACGAUGUCGAUUUGGAGGUUGUGCCCUUGAGGCGUGGCUUCCGGAGCUAACGCGUUAAAUCGACCGCCUGGGGAGUACGGCCGCAAGGUUAAAACUCAAAUGAAUUGACGGGGGCCCGCACAAGCGGUGGAGCAUGUGGUUUAAUUCGAUGCAACGCGAAGAACCUUACCUGGUCUUGACAUCCACAGAACUUAGCAGAGAUGCUUUGGUGCCUUCGGGAACUGUGAGACAGGUGCUGCAUGGCUGUCGUCAGCUCGUGUUGUGAAAUGUUGGGUUAAGUCCCGCAACGAGCGCAACCCUUAUCCUUUGUUGCCAGCGGUUAGGCCGGGAACUCAAAGGAGACUGCCAGUGAUAAACUGGAGGAAGGUGGGGAUGACGUCAAGUCAUCAUGGCCCUUACGACCAGGGCUACACACGUGCUACAAUGGCAUAUACAAAGAGAAGCGACCUCGCGAGAGCAAGCGGACCUCAUAAAGUAUGUCGUAGUCCGGAUUGGAGUCUGCAACUCGACUCCAUGAAGUCGGAAUCGCUAGUAAUCGUAGAUCAGAAUGCUACGGUGAAUACGUUCCCGGGCCUUGUACACACCGCCCGUCACACCAUGGGAGUGGGUUGCAAAAGAAGUAGGUAGCUUAACCUUCGGGAGGGCGCUUACCACUUUGUGAUUCAUGACUGGGGUGAAGUCGUAACAAGGUAACCGUAGGGGAACCUGCGGUUGGAUCACCU